UCAGUGUUUAGUAUUAAUUUGUGGUUGUGUAAAUCUGAAUAUUCAUAAAUAUUGUAUUUUUAAUUUUCUCCAGGUUUGGAUUUCAACCUGCAUCCACGAUAGAGGAGCUAAUGAGGUUUGAGAAGGAACAGCAUUAUUCUAAUUUCUAUGGACAUUCCUUCUACUACAUCCUCAACAGUCAACAUUAAGAACUCCAGAUCUUCAGAGAUCUACUCCAACCUCAAUAGUCAACAUAGAGAACUCCAGAUCUUCAGAGUUCUACUCCAACCUUAAUAGUCAACAUAGAGAACUCCAGAUCUCCAGAGUUCUACUCCAACCUCAAUAGUCAACAUAGAGAACCCCAUAUCUUCAGAGUUCUACUCCAACCUCAAUAGUCAACAUAGAGAACCCCAGAUCUUCAGAGUUCUACUCCAACCUCAAUAGUCAACAUAGAGAACUCCAGAUCUGCAGAGUUUUACUCCAACCUCAAUAGUCAACAUAGAGAACUCCAGAUCUUCAGAGUUCUACUCCAACCUCAACAUAGAGAACCCCAGAUCUUCAGAGUUCUACUCCAACCUCAACAUAGAAAACCCCAGAUUUUCAGAGUUCUACUCCAACCUCAAUAGUCAACAUAGAGAACCCCAGAUUUUCAGAGUUCUACUCCAACCUCAAUAGUCAACAUAGAGAACUCCAGAUCUUUAGAGUUCUACUCCAACCUCAAUAGUAAACAUAGAGAACCCCAGAUCUUCAGAGUUCUACUCAAACCUCAAUAGUCAACAGAGAGAACCACAGAUCUUCAGAGUUCUACUUCAAUCUCAACAUAGAGAACUCCGGAUCUCCAGAGUUUCACUCCAAUCUCAACAUAGAGAACUCCAGAUCUUCAGAGUUCUACUCAAACCUAUACAUAGAGUACUCCAGAUCUCCCAUGUUCUACUCCAACGUCAACAUAAAGAACUCCAGAUCUCCCAUGUUCUACUCCAACGUCAACAUACAGAACUCCAGAUAUCUCAACAGUAUCCUUAAACACUUGAUAUGAUGAAAUAAAAAUUCUUUUUUAUUUA